AACGCACAUUGCACUGCUCCUCGUGGGCAGUAUGUCUGUUUGAGUAUCCGUAGUCCAACUCAAGGUCUACUCCAGUCUUUCGGGAAUGGUGUGGAAUUUGGAAUUGAGUGAUUGACGGUUGUAUGCAACCCUCACACUUGAAAUGGACGGUGACCGCAUUGUUCCACGUCAUCCUCGUGAUGGUGUGGUGCAACCUCGGAAGCUGACAGAGCUAGUCUACCCUCACGAGUAGAAGAUGCGACUGUCUAGUAGCCAAGGUGUAGUCAACCAAGGGAUGUUCACGCAUUCCAUCUCCAAGUUCGGAAUACUUUUAGUGUUCCGCUUGAACCAUGGAUCUCAAAUCAGACAAGAUUACCCGCUGAACUUAA
rnacentral:misc_RNA from 1 species